AUUGAACGCUGGCGGCAUGCCUUACACAUGCAAGUCGAACGGCAGCACGGGUGCUUGCACCUGGUGGCGAGUGGCGAACGGGUGAGUAAUACAUCGGAACGUACCUUAUCGUGGGGGAUAACGCAGCGAAAGCUGUGCUAAUACCGCAUACGCCCUGAGGGGGAAAGCGGGGGAUCGCAAGACCUCGCGCGAUUAGAGCGGCCGAUGCCUGAUUAGCUAGUUGGUGGGGUAAAAGCCCACCAAGGCGACGAUCAGUAGCUGGUCUGAGAGGACGAUCAGGCACACUGGGACUGAGACACGGCCCAGACUCCUACGGGAGGCAGCAGUGGGGAAUUUUGGACAAUGGGGGCAACCCUGAUCCAGCAAUGCCGCGUGAGUGAAGAAAGCCUUCGGGUUGUAAAGCUCUUUUGUCAGGGAAGAAACACCGGCUCUAACACAGUCCGGGAAUGACGGUACCUGAAGAAUAAGCACCGGCUAACUACGUGCCAGCCGCCGCUGUAA
rnacentral:rRNA from 1 species